GUGCGGUCACAAAAUCCAACGGAUUUUGAACGUUGGCUUUGCCAACGGCCUCAUCAGGGCGAACAAUCGAACUUGAUUCGAUUGUGAGUAAUUUUUCCGAU
rfam:Aggregatibacter actinomycetemcomitans D11S-1, complete genome.